GCGCAGAAUCCGUUUUCUGAACAAUGAGUUGCGUGAUAGUUGCAUUCUUUCCAGGUGUCUUUGCAUAACCACUGCCGGAGACCAUCCAUCCGAAUUCGCUAUUAACUGCCACAGGGCCCCCGUCUCCCCGUUGUAUCUCACCCGUAAUUAUGUCGAAAUAGUAGUCGGAACCAAUUAAGAUGUCGAUAUUCUGUGCCGAAUCACUGUCGUUAAGCAGACUUUCAUCACCCAGAUCCAACCCUUGCAGGUGUGUAUGUCGGUCAAGGUCAAGCGUUGUCAAAAGGGGCGAGCAAAUCUUAGGAUAACAGAGUGCUGCGAUUUCAAUGUCUUUCGAUUUCCCUUGCAAUUCUACACGAACUCGAUCGCAUCGUUGUUUAACAAAUCUAUCAUCUCCGAAUGUAUUCAAGUUCAAAACUUCAGUUUUUUCCGAGCUAAGACCUAGCUUUUCCUUCAACGACUCUGUCACAUACGAUCGCUG